rnacentral:rRNA from 1 species
AGCGAACGCUGGCGGCAGGCUUAACACAUGCAAGUCGAGCGGGCAUCCUUGUGGUGUCAGCGGCAGACGGGUGAGUAACGCGUGGGAACGUGCCCUUCGGUUCGGAAUAACUCAGGGAAACUUGAGCUAAUACCGGAUACGUGCGAGAGCAGAAAGGUUUAUCUGCCGAAGGAUCGGCCCGCGUCUGAUUAGCUAGUUGGUGAGGUUAUGGCUCACCAAGGCGACGAUCAGUAGCUGGUCUGAGAGGAUGAUCAGCCACACUGGGACUGAGACACGGCCCAGACUCCUACGGGAGGCAGCAGUGGGGAAUGUUGGACAAUGGGGGCAACCCUGAUCCAGCCAUGCCGCGUGAGUGAUGACGGCCUUAGGGUUGUAAAGCUCUUUUCUCCGGGACGAUAAUGACGGUACCGGAGGAAUAAGCCCCGGCUAACUUCGUG